UAGCAAUACACCGCUGGCGACCGGCGCACAGGUGAGUAACACGUAUCCAACCUGCCCUUUACUCGGGGAUAGCCUUUCGAAAGAAAGAUUAAUACCCGAUGGUAUAACAUGACCUCCUGGUUUUGUUAUUAAAGAAUUUCGGUAGAGGAUGGGGAUGCGUUCCAUUAGGCAGUUGGCGGGGUAACGGCCCACCAAACCUUCGAUGGAUAGGGGUUCUGAGAGGAAGGUCCCCCACAUUGGAACUGAGACACGGUCCAAACUCCUACGGGAGGCAGCAGUGAGGAAUAUUGGUCAAUGGGCGAGAGCCUGAACCAGCCAAGUAGCGUGAAGGAUGACCGCCCUAUGGGUUGUAAACUUCUUUUAUAUGGGAAUAAAGUUUGCCACGUGUGGCAUUUUGUAUGUACCAUAUGAAUAAGGAUCGGCUAACUCCGUGCCAGCAGCCGCGGUAAUACGGAGGAUCCGAGCGUUAUCCGGAUUUAUUGGGUUUAAAGGGAGCGUAGGCGGAUUGUUAAGUCAGUUGUGAAAGUUUGCGGCUCAACCGUAAAAUUGCAGUUGAUACUGGCAGUCUUGAGUGCAGUAGAGGUGGGCGGAAUUCGUGGUGUAGCGGUGAAAUGCUUAGAUAUCACGAAGACUCCGAUUGCGAAGGCAGCUCACUGGAGUGUAACU
rnacentral:rRNA from 1 species